rnacentral:rRNA from 1 species
GUACGGGGGGAGCAAGCGUUGUUCGGAUUUACUGGGCGUAAAGGGCGCGUAGGCGGCCACCGCAAGUCCGACUGUGAAAUCUCCGGGCUUAACUCGGAAAGGUCAGCCGAUACUCGCGGGGCUAGAGUGCAGAAGGGGCGAACUGGAAUUCUCGGUGUAGCGGUGAAAUGCGUAGAUAGAUCGGGACGGAACACCUAUGGCGAAAGCAGGCUUCUGGGCCAUCACUGACGCUGAUCUGCGAAAGCUAGGGGAGCAAACAGG